rnacentral:lncRNA from 1 species
UUUUUUGCUAUAAGGAAAGUACUUUUUCGUAAAACCUGUUAUGUUUACUUUCGAAAGUUACUUCGUAUGAUAUGAUCUGAUUAUACGAAGGAUUUUUUGCGUAAGUAACGGACGACCGGUUUUUACGAAUUUAUUAAAUUGACGCGACAUAUGGAGAUGUCAAAAUAACGAUGUUUCCGCAGAUUUUUGAGAAACGUUUUCGCUUUUGUUUUAAUUUUUCGGUGAAAGUUUCUCUGAGUCACUCAAGGAGUUUUACCAAAGGUUAUUUCACCGAGAUUUAGUCGCAAAACGUUUUUGUAGGUUUCUUGAAUGAAUCAGUUAAACAGCGAUAGGCUUA